rnacentral:rRNA from 1 species
UACAGAGGGGGCAAGCGUUGUUCGGAAUUACUGGGCGUAAAGGGCGCGUAGGCGGCCCGCUAAGUCGAACGUGAAAUCCCCGGGCUCAACCCGGGAACUGCGUCCGAUACUGGAAGGCUUGAAUCCGGGAGAGGGAUGCGGAAUUCCUGGUGUAGCGGUGAAAUGACGCAGAUAUCAGGAAGAACACCCGUGGCGAAGGCGGUUCUCUGGGACGGUACUGACGCUGAGACGCGAAAGCGUGGGGAGCGAACAGG